UACAGAGGUCUCAAGCGUUGUUCGGAUUCAUUGGGCGUAAAGGGUGUGUAGGUGGCGCCGUAAGUCGGGUGUGAAAUUUCGGAGCUUAACUCCGAAACUGCAUUCGAUACUGCGGUGCUUGAGGACUGGAGAGGAGACUGGAAUUCAUGGUGUAGCAGUGAAAUGCGUAGAGAUCAUGAGGAAGACCAGUGGCGAAGGCGGGUCUCUGGACAGUUCCUGACACUGAGACAGGAAGGCCAGGGGAGCAAACGGG
rnacentral:rRNA from 1 species